rnacentral:tRNA from 21 species
AAACCCGAGGCCGUUGGGGAGGACGGGCCAGGGUGGUUUCGACUCCCAUUCU